rnacentral:rRNA from 1 species
GACGAACGCUGGCGGCGUGCUUAACACAUGCAAGUCGAACGAUGAAGAAAAGAAUCGCAGCUUCGGCAGAAAUUCAUUUCGGAUUAGUGGCAGACGGGUGAGUAACGCGUGAGCAACCUACCUCUUACAAAGGGAUAGCCUCGGGAAACCGGGAUUAAUACCAUAUAACAUUGCGACGAAGCAUUUCGAUGCAAUCAAAGCUACGGCGGUAAGAGAUGGGCUCGCGUCCCAUUAACCGGAUGGUGAGGUAACGGCUCACCAUAGUGACGAUGGGUAACCGGCCUGAGAGGGUGAACGGUCACACUGGAACUGAGACACGGUCCAGACUCCUACGGGAGGCAGCAGUGGGGAAUAUUGCACAAUGGGGGGAACUCUGAUGCAGCGACGCCGCGUGAGUGAUGAAGGAAUUCGUUUCGUAAAACUCUGUUCUAUGGGAAGAAAAGGACUGUACCAUAGGAGAAAGCUCCGGCUAAAUACGUG